rnacentral:rRNA from 1 species
CCUACGGGUGGCAGCAGUGAGGAAUAUUGGUCAAUGGACGCGAGCCUGAACCAGCCAAGUAGCGUGAAGGAUGACUGCCCUAUGGGUUGUAAACUUCUUUUAUAUGGGAAUAAAGUUCGGCACGUGUGCCUUUUUGUAUGUACUUUAUGAAUAAGGAUCGGCUAACUCCGUGCCAGCAGCCGCGGUAAUACGGAGGAUCCGAGCGUUAUCCGGAUUUAUUGGGUUUAAAGGGAGCGUAGAUGGACUGUUAAGUCAGUUGUGAAAGUUUGCGGCUCAACCGUAAAAUUGCAGUUGAUACUGGGAGUCUUGAGUGCAGUAGAGGUAGGCGGAAUUCGUGGUGUAGCGGUGAAAUGCUUAGAUAUCACGAAGAACUCCGAUUGCGAAGGCAGCCUACUAGACUGCAACUGACGUUGAUGCUCGAAAGUGUGGGUAUCAAACAGGAUUAGAUACCCUUGUAGUC